rnacentral:rRNA from 1 species
UGGGCAACCUGCCCCAGACACUGGGAUAACUCCGGGAAACCGGGGCUAAUACCGGGUACUCUCAGCCGGCCGCAUGACCGGCUGAGGAAAGCUCCGGCGGUCUGGGAUGGGCCCGCGGCCUAUCAGCUUGUUGGUGGGGUAACGGCCUACCAAGGCGACGACGGGUAGCUGGUCUGAGAGGACGGCCAGCCACACUGGGACUGAGACACGGCCCAGACUCCUACGGGAG